rnacentral:rRNA from 1 species
ACGUAGGAGGCGAGCGUUAUCCGGAUUUACUGGGUGUAAAGCGCGUGCAGGCGGUUUGCUAAGUUGGGUGUGAAGGCUCCUGGCUCAACUGGGAGAGGUCGCUCAAGACUGGCAGACUAGAGAGUGGUAGGGGAAGGUGGAAUUCCGGGUGUAGUGGUGAAAUGCGUAGAUAUCCGGAGGAACACCAGUGGCGAAGGCGGCCUUCUAGGCCACUUCUGACGCUCAGACGCGAAAGCUAGGGUAGCAAACGGGAUUAGAGACCCCGGUAGUCCUAGCCGUAAACGAUGUGAACUUGGCGCUGAGUGGGUAAAACCAAGCAGUGCCGAAGCAAACGCGAUAAGUUCACCACCUGGGGACUACGGCCGCAAGGUUA